GUGAACGCUGGCGGUAGGCCCAACACAUGCAAGUCGAACGGCAGCACAGUAAGAGCUUGCUCUUACGGGUGGCGAGUGGCGGACGGGUGAGGAAUACAUCGGAAUCUACUUUUUCGUGGGGGAGAACGUAGGGAAACUUACGCUAAUACCGCAUACGACCUACGGGUGAAAGCAGGGGAUCUUCGGACCUUGCGCGAUUGAAUGAGCCGAUGUCGGAUUAGCUAGUUGGCGGGGUAAAGGCCCACCAAGGCGACGAUCCGUAGCUGGUCUGAGAGGAUGAUCAGCCACACUGGAACUGAGACACGGUCCAGACUCCUACGGGAGGCAGCAGUGGGGAAUAUUGGACAAUGGGCGCAAGCCUGAUCCAGCCAUACCGCGUGGGUGAAGAAGGCCUUCGGGUUGUAAAGCCCUUUUGUUGGGAAAGAAAAGCAGCAGGUUAAUACCCCGCUGUUCUGACGGUACCCAAAGAAUAAGCACCGGCUAACUUCGUG
rnacentral:rRNA from 1 species